rnacentral:rRNA from 1 species
AUUGAACGCUGGCGGCAUGCCUAACACAUGCAAGUCGAGCGGUUGAAGGAGGCUUUCUCUUGUAUUCAGCGGCUUACGGGUGGGUAAUGCCUACGAAUCUGCCUUGUAUUGUGGGAUAACGUCAGUAAACGGGCCCUAAUACCGCAUACGUUCUGAGUGAGUGACUGGUGUAUCUUCUUAGCUCACGCUAUUAGAUCAACCUAGGUGGGAUUAGCUAGUUGGUGGGGUAAUGGCCUACGAAGUCGACGAUCUGUAACUGGUCUGAUAGGAGGAUCAGUCACACUGGAACUGAGACACGGUCAAGACUCCUACGGGAGGAAGCAGUGGGGAAUAUUGGAAAAUGGGCGAACGCCUGAUCCAGAAAUGCGGCGUGUGUGAAGAAGGUCUUCGGAUUGUAAAGCACGUUGAGUUGGGAGGACGGGCAGUAAGUUAAUACCUUGCUGUUGUGACGUUAGCAAAAGAAUAAGCGACGGCUAACUUCGUG